rnacentral:rRNA from 1 species
AAAACGACUCUCGGCAACGGAUAUCUCGGCUCUCGCAUCGAUGAAGAACGCAGCGAAAUGCGAUACUUGGUGUGAAUUGCAGAAUCCCGCGAACCAUCGAGUCUUUGAACGCAAGUUGCGCCCRAAGCCUUUUGGCCGAGGGCACGUCUGCCUGGGUGUCACGCAACAU